GACGAACGCUGGCGGCGUGCCUAAUACAUGCAAGUAGAACGCUGAAGAGAGGAGCUUGCUCUUCUUGGAUGAGUUGCGAACGGGUGAGUAACGCGUAGGUAACCUGCCUGGUAGCGGGGGAUAACUAUUGGAAACGAUAGCUAAUACCGCAUAAAAUGGAUUAUCGCAUGAUAAUCCAUUGAAAGGUGCAAAUGCAUCACUACCAGAUGGACCUGCGUUGUAUUAGCUAGUUGGUGGGGUAACGGCUCACCAAGGCGACGAUACAUAGCCGACCUGAGAGGGUGAUCGGCCACACUGGGACUGAGACACGGCCCAGACUCCUACGGGAGGCAGCAGUAGGGAAUCUUCGGCAAUGGACGGAAGUCUGACCGAGCAACGCCGCGUGAGUGAAGAAGGUUUUCGGAUCGUAAAGCUCUGUUGUAAGAGAAGAACGAGUGUGAGAGUGGAAAGUUCACACUGUGACGGUAUCUUACCAGAAAGGGACGGCUAGCUACGUGCCAGCAGCCGCGGUAAUACGUAGGUCCCGAGCGUUGUCCGGAUUUAUUGGGCGUAAAGCGAGCGCAGGCGGUUAGAUAAGUCUGAAGUUAAAGGCUGUGGCUUAACCAUAGUACGCUUUGGAAACUGUUUAACUUGAGUGCAAGAGGGGAGAGUGGAAUUCCAUGUGUAGCGGUGAAAUGCGUAGAUAUAUGGAGGAACACCGGUGGCGAAAGCGGCUCUCUGGCUUGUAACUGACGCUGAGGCUCGAAAGCGUGGGGAGCAAACAGG
rnacentral:rRNA from 1 species